AAGGGAAGGUGACUUGUCCACACUGACACAGUGAGUAAGUGGCACAGCCACUGAAGGGAACCCAGAACUCUGACUCACAAGCUACUCUUUCCUGACACCACCCUGCUGAAAGGUGUAGGAGGAACAGGAUGGGUCAUGGACAGCACAUGAGGGCCAAAUGACAGCUGCUUGGCCUGUGACCCAGGGUGGUCUUCCUGCAUCUGUGCCCCAGGACGGCUAUGUGCUUACCUAAAAGGUGAUUUCCCUUGGAUGACACCCUGGGCCCUGUGCUUUGGUAUCAUUAAAGAAACAGAGGAAGCCCCUAAUUACAAGGUGGAACUCUGCCUUCAAAGACAGACAUGAGGCAACUUCUUUAGGAAAAACCAGUGCUGGGCCUGGGUGGUCUUGGUAUUAGUUCCCUAGUGAUGUGAUUAAAUGAAGCCAUGCAUUUCAGAGUAGCUUUUUUACCCUUUCUUUCUUUUUUUUUUUUUUUUAACAAAAAUGUAGGAGUCAUUCAACCUUCUUGCAAAUUACAGUGAUUUUAAGUAAAUAAAAAGUUAGUACUCCUCCCCACCCUCUCACCUAUCAGACACAAAGUACCUGUAUCUGAUGACAGGAAAUAUCCCCUGCCCUCCUCCACUUAAAAAAAAUCACUGUAACCAUUCAAUUACAUGUUGUAGGGUCAAAUUUUUAUUUACAUGAAAUUCUGAUUCUCAACCAUCUGAUUUUUGUUAACUAGUACAUCUAAAUCAAAUGGUGCCUGCAGACCCCAUAAUUAGUGUGAUAUCUUAAAUUGCUCUUGAAUUGAAGCGGCUGCAGUGCUGUCUCUAUCUGUUCUAUCUGGUGGCUGAGAUCCUAUCUGCCCACAUAGCCCUCUCUCCCUAGGCCCUGGGUGGCGGGGAUGGCGGCUGAGCUGGGAGGCUUUUCAGCCUCGGGUGGAAAUCUGGCUCCUUUCACUCUCAGAGUUCGGGUGGGGUGGGAGGGUCCUCAGUCCCCAUCUCAGUGACAUGAGUGGGUGCUGAGCUGCAGUGAAGCGAGGGAACUCCUGUCCCCACACUGGGACUUCCACAUUGUCCUAGGAUAUAGGAGAGCCCUGCCCCUGCUUGCUAGCCAGGUGUGGUAAGGAUGGAGAAGGGAGAGCUUUGAUGUCUCAGACAGUACUGGGCUGGCCUCCAGUCCUCACACCUCUGAAUGUAGUCUCCUGGGGUCCCCAAGGUGGCUGGAUGUGAUCCUGAUACUCAUCUCCAUGCUAAUAACACCAGGGGUCACCUCUAUCUAGGCAAGGGCUGAAUCCUAGCAUCAACACAACUUUUCCCAAACAGCCUAGACUAGGCCAUUAAAAACAACAGCAAUAACAACAAAAGCCAGGAGGUAGACUGCCUGGGCACAGUCAUAGAACUGGCCAUGUCAAUGAGGGCACCCAUACCAUCAAACCAAAAGACUAACGACACAGCGAGAGUACCUUGCCCUUCUCAAAGACUAGCACCACAUCCAUAUAUACUCUCAUAGUGGUUCAACUCCACAAAGACAAAAGACUUCUUAUGAAAUUCCACUUUUUCAGUGGGAGUUUCCCUUUUUAAAAAAUUAUAUAUAUUUAAGGUGUACAACACUAUGGUUAGGUUUUGUUUUGUUUUUUAAUUAAAUUCUUUUAUUGGUACUUUUUUGGUAUACAACAUAAUUACAUUUCUCGUUGGGAAUUGUACCUUUACAUAAUGCAUCUUGGUUCUUAUUUUUUCCCCAUUCCUAGCCCUUGCUUCACCCCCUCCACCCUUCCCUAUUUACAAAGACUUUAUUUCCAUUUUUUCCAUUUCUCAGCAUUUUUCCUUUCCCUUCUUUCCUUUCCCCUGCCCCUCCCACUACCCCUACCCCUUUGGACCUUUUCUUCCUAUUUUACAUUUUCGAUUAUUCAUUCUAAUCAUUGGUACAUUUUAGAUAUACAAUAUAAUGACAUUCCUUAUUGGAAAUUUGCACCUUUACAUAAUCUCUCUUGGUUCUUAUUUUUCACCCUUGCCCAGCCCUCCCUUCAACCCCUCCAUUCCUCCCUAUUUACAAAGAUUUUGUUCCUAUUUUUCCAUUUUCUCAUAUUAAUCCCAUUCCCUUCUAUCCUUUCCCCUAGCCCUCCCACUUCCUUCCCCUUUGCCCCUUUUCUUCCUAUUUCACAUUACCUAUUAUACAUUUAGUCCUUAUUUACACUUUCAGUUUCUCACACCAGAGAAACUAUUUGGUAUUUAUACAUGUGUGUCCUAUUCAUUUCACUUAAGAGUAUCGCCUCAAUGUGCAUCCACUUAGCUAUAAAUGUCUCUAAUUUCUCAUUUUUUAUGGCUGAGUAGUAUUCCAUUUUAUUAAAAAACCACGUUUUCUUUAUCCAGUCUCCAGUUGAUAGGCAUUUGGGCUGUAUCCAACUUUCAGCUAUCACAAAUUGUGCUGCUAUGAACAUGGGUGCACAUAUAUCACUGUGGUGUGAUUCUUUUAAUUCUUUGGGGAAGAUCCCGAGCAGUGGAAUAGCGGGGUCAAAUGAGACUUUCAGUCCUAGUUCUUUGAGGUAUCUCCAUACUGAUAUCCACAGUGGUUGCACCAGUCUACACUCUCACCAGCAGUGGAGCAGGGUUCCUCUUUCCCCACAGCCCCGCCAGUAGUUGUUAUUGGUUGAUUUCAUGAUAGUAGCAAUUCUUUCUGGAGUGAAGUGGAAGGAAUCUCAGCGUUGUUUUCAUUUGCAUCUCCCGAAUGACCAGUAAUGUUGAACAUUUUUUCAUGUAUUUAUUUGCUAUUUCUACUUCUUUGUCUGAGAAAUGUCUGUUCAUUUCAGACACCCAUUUUCUGACUGGGUCUUUAAAUUUGGGAGGUCUGAUCUUUUUAAGUUCUUUAUAGAUUCAAGAUAGUAGACCUUUGUCUGAGGAAGAGCAGAUGAAGAUUUUUUCCCACAUUGUGGGUUGUCUCUUCACACUGCUGGUGGUUUCUCUUGCUGUGCAGAAGCCUUUUAAUAAGAAGAGAUCCCACUUGUUGAUAGUUUGUGCUAGUUCACGGGCAACGGAGGUUUUGUUCAUAAAAUCUUUUCCUACACCGAUGUCUUCAAGGGUUCUACCUAACCUCUGUUCCAACUGGUUCAGAGUUUCUAUUUUAAUAUUUAGAUCUAUAGGGGCCGGGGAUUUAGCUCAGUGGUUCCAGCACCUGCCUCGCAAGCACAAGUUCCCAAGUUCAAUCCCUGGUACCCAAAAAAUAAUAAUAAAAAAAUAUAUACAUAUAUAUAUUUAGAUCUUUAAUCCAUUUUGAUUGUAGUUUAGUGUAUGGUGGGAGAUAUAGGUCUAGUUUUAAUCUCUGGCAAGUUGAAGCCCAAUUUUUCCAGCACCAUUUAUUAAAGAGGCUAUCUUUCCUCCAGUGAGGGUGUUUGGCUCCUUUAUCGAAGAUGAGAUGGCUGAGUGUGUCUGGCAUUGUUUCUGCAUCUUCUAAUCUGUUCCACUGGUCCUCAGGUCUGUUUCUUUGCCAGUACCAUGCUGUUUUUAUCACAGUGGCUAUAUAGUAGAGUUGCAGGUUGGGGGUUGUGAUACUCCCUGCCAUGUCUCUGUUACCUAGAAUUGCUUUUGCUAUUCUGAGUCUCUUCUUGUUCCAAAUGAAUUUUUGGAUUGCUUUCUCAAGGUCCAUGAAGUAUGCUGCUGGGAUCUCAAUUGGAAUUGCAUUCAAUCUAUAUAGCAGUUUUGGAAGUAUGGCCAUUUUCACUAUAUUAAUCCUUCAUACCCAAGAACAGGGGAUGUCUGUCCAUUUUCUGAUAUCAUCUUCAAUCUCUCUUUUCAGAGUGCCAUAGUUUUCAGAGAAGAGGUCUUUGAUUUCUUUCGUUAGGUUGAUUCCUAGGUAUUUCAGUUUUUUGGAUGCUACUGUGAAAGGAAUUAUUUGCCCUAUUUUUCUCUCAGUGAGUUUGUCAUUCGUGUAGAGGAAAGCUAUUGAUUUUUGUGUGUUGACCUUGUAACGAGCUACUUGACUGAAUUUGGUUAUUAAGUCUAGAAGACUUUUGGUGGAGUUCUUGGGGUCUUCUAUAUAGAGUAUCAUGUCAUCUGCAAAUAAUGACAAUUUGACUUCUUCAUUUCCUAUCUUUAUUCCUUUUAUUUCUUUCUCUUGUCUAAUUGCUGUGGCUAAUGUUUCCAGAACUACAUUGAACAAGAGUGGUGAGAGUGGACGACCUUGUCUUAUUCCUGAUUUUAGUGUGAAGGAUUUCAGUUUUUGACCAUUUAGUAUGAUAUUGGCUGUUGGUUUUUCAUAGAUGGCUUCUAUCAGUUUGAGGUAGAGACCAUCUAUUCCCAUUUUUUGUAGGGUUUUUAUCAUAAAUGCAUUUUGGAUUUUGUCAAAUGCUUUUUCUGCAUCUAUGGAGAUAAUCAUAUGGUUUUUGUCCUUGGCUCUGUUGACAUAGUGUAUUACGUUGAUUGAUUUGCGUAUGUUGAACCAUCCCUGCAUCCCCGGGAUGAAUCCCACUUGAUCAGUGUGUAUGAUCUUCUUGAUGAUCUUCUGCAUUCUGUUUGCCAGUAUCUUAUUAAGGAUUUUUGCAUCUAUGUUCAUUAGUGAGAUUGGCCUAUAGUUCUCCUUUUCGGUUGGGUCUUUCUCUGCUUUGGGGAUCAAGGUGAUGCUUGCUUCCAGGAAUGAAUUUGGGAGUAUUGCUUCCCUUUCAAUUUCAUUGAAGAGUUUAAACAGUAGUGGCAGCAGUUCCUCUCUAAAUGUCUUGUAGAAUUCAGCAGUGAAGCCAUCAGGGCCCGGGCUUUUCUUAGUUGAUAAGUUUUUAAUUACAUUUUCAAUUUCAUUGGUUGAUAUUGGGUUGUUCAGAAUUUUUAGGUCUUCUUCGUUCAACUUUGGUAAUUCAUAUGUAUCUAGGAAUCUGUCCAUUUCUUCUGUGUUGUCCAUCUUAUUGGCGUAUAGGUUCUGGAAGUAGGUAUUGAUGAUCCUCUGGAUUUCUGCUGGGUCUGUUGUGACUUCACCCUUUUCAUUCCUAAUUGCAUGGAUUUGGGCCUUUUCUUUCCUUUUUCUGACAAGCUUGGCUAAGGGUUUGUCAAUUUUGUUGAUUCUUUCGAAGAACCAACUCUUGGCUUCAUUGAUUUUUUUGUAUCUUUCUCUUAGUCUCCAUUGCAUUGAUUUCUCCUCUGAUCUUUAUAAUUUCCUCCCUUGUAUGAGCUCUGGGGUUGUCUUGUUCUUCUUUUUCUAGAAGCUUGAGGGUCAGCAUCAGGUUGUUUAAUUGGGCUCGUUCUGUUUUCCUAAUAUGCGUAUUCACUGCUAUGAAUUUCCCUCAUAAGACUGCUUUCAUUGUGUCCCAUAGAUUCUGAUAUGUUGUAUUGUCAUUGUCAUUUAAUUGAAGGAACUGUCUGAUUUCUUCUUUAAUUUCCUCUGUGACCCAUUGGUUAUUCAGAAGUGUGUUGUUCAAUUUCCAUGUGUUUAUGAAAUUUUUCCAGUUUCUUUUGUUAUGGAUCUCCAAUUUCAUCGCACUAUGGUCUGAUAAUAUACAGGGGAUAACUUCAAUUCCUUUGCACUUACUUAAACAUGUUCUAUGUGUGAGUAUGUGGUCUAUUUUUGAGAAUGACCCAUGUGCAGCUGAGAAGAAUGUGUAUUCUGAUUUUGUGGGGUGGAAGACUCUGUAAACAUCUGUUAAGUUCAUUUGUUCAAGAGUUCGAUUGAGUUCUAGUAUUUCAUUACUUAUUUUUUGUCUAGUUGAUCUAUUUGUGACAGUGGGGUGUUGAGGUCCCCCACUACAAUUGUAUUAGUGCAUAUAUGACUUUUCAUGUCUGUUAAUAUUUGUUUUAUAUAGUUGGGCCCACUAGUGUUUGGUGCAUAGAUAUUUAUGAUUGUCAUCUCUUCCUCUUGGAUUAUUCCCUUUACAAGGAUGUAGUGUCCUUCUUUGUCUCUCUUAAUCAGUGUUGGUUUGAAGUCUACUUGAUCUGCAAAGAGGAUAGCUACUCCUGUUUUUUUUCUGGUUCCUGUCACAUGGAGUAUUGUUUUCCACCCUUUAACUUUCAGUCUAUGAGUUUCCUUUUGAAUAAAGUGUGUUUCUUGUGUGUAGCAUAUUGUUGGAUUUUGCUUCUUGACCCAUUCUGCCAGUCUAUUUCUUUUGAUUGGUGAAUUGAGACCAUUAACAUUGAUGGUUAUAACUGAAACGUAUUGACUUGUCAUUGCCAUGACUUUUUCUUUUUGUUGGACUCUCCCCCUUUGCAUUUAAUUUCUUGUUUUGCCCAACGGAUUCAUUCUGCUGGGCUUCCUGGAGUUGUGAUCCUUGUCUUUUCCUAGGAUAUUGUCUAGAAUUUUUUGGAGUGCUGGUUUGAUAUUCAUGAAGUUCCUAAAGUGCUCUUUGUCAUGAAAGUAUCUUAUUUCUCCAUCAAUUUUGAAAGAUAGUUUUGCAGGGUACAUCAAUCUGCGUUGGAGGCUGUUUUCUUUUAGGGCUUGGAAUAUUCACUCCAAGCUCUUCUUGCCUUGAUGGUUUGCAUUGAGAAGUCUGCUGUGAUUCUGAUAGGCUUCCCUUUGUAUGUGAUUUGUUUCUUUUCUCUAACUGCUUGUAGAACUUUGUUCUUCUGUUGUGUUUCUGGAAUCUUAACAAUUAUAUGCCUAUGUGUAGAUUUUUUUUUUUGAACAAGGCUAUUUGGAGUCCUAUAUGCCUCACUUAUCUGUAUGUCAAGUUCUUUUCCCCUGCUUGGGAAGUUUUCUGCCAUUAUUUCUGUGAAGAGAUCUUUUAUGUCAUCUGCACUCUCUCCUGUUUCUUCAUUGAGCCCAAUCAGUCUUAUGUUAUUCUUCUUUGCAUCAUCUAGCAGCUGCUGGAUUGAUUUCUCAUGUUCCCUUAUAAUUUUGAAGCAAUUUUUCUUUUCCUGGUCACUAAUUGCAAUCUUAUCUUCUAUAUCUGAAAUUCUGUCUUCACAUUGGCUCAUUUUACUGUGUAGACUUUCAACGGAGUUUUUCAUGUCCUGGAAAUCUAUUUGCAUCUGUUUUAUAGAUUCCAUUUGUUUCCUAUGUUGGAAUUCCAUCAUGUUCCCAAGCUCCUCUCUAGAUUUAUUAAUCAUGUCUUGCACUAGGGGCACAAUUUCUCCUGUUAUCUGAGAAAUUAUUUCUGAUUUCAUUUUUUCCAGAUCCCCUUUUGUUGCCAGUUCAGUGGGUCCAGGUGGUUGAGUAACAGAGUGUUCCAUCUCAUUUCCCUUUGGGGUUGCUGUAGGUGAUCUGGGAGUCUGGUUUUGAGACUUAUUUACGUGUUUUCUCAUUUCGACUGCAGGGGGGCUGUUGGUGCCUGCACGGAUUAUGUCCUCUGAGCUGAGAGAGGUGGGUCAGGGGCCUGGAGCAGCGGUAGGGAUGGUGGCCCAAAAGCCCUUUCCUGUGGGCUGGGAGCAGCAGGAGGGAUAGUGGCCGGGAAGCCCCUUUCUCUGGUCCAGGAGCAGUGGGAUGGUGGCUCAGAAGCCCCUACCUCUGGGCCGGGAGCAGUGGGAGGGAUGGUGGCCUGGAAGGCCCUUCCUCUGGGCCAGGAGUGGCGGGACAGAAGGUGGCCCAAAAGCCCUUUCCUCUGGGCUGGGUGCAGCGGGAGGGAUGGUGGCCUGGAAGCCCCUUCCUCUGGGCCAGGAGCAGUGGGAUAGUGGCUCAGAAGCCCCUACCUCUGGGCCGGGAGCAGCGGGACUCAGUACCGUGGUCUGGUGGUCCGGUAUCCUCUGCGUCUUUGUAGUGUGGAACCAGAUGGCUGUACAGAGGAGCGGGGGGUGCGGGGUCCAGUGGAUUGUUGCCGGGGCACGGGUUGAUUCGGAGUCUUCCCAACACUAUGUUUUGAUAUACAUAGGUCAAGCGAAAUGACCACCACAGUCAAGGAAAUCACACUCAUCGUUUCACCCAGUCAUGUUGUAUGUAGGGGAACUCUCAACAAACUUCCAGUACACAAGGCUGGAAUAAUCAUCCUCCUGCUGCAUAUUAGCUCUUUAGACUUAUUCUUCCUACUUAACAGCAAUUUGUACCCUCCAACCUAUACCUCCCUAUCUUCCCUUCAUCCCAAUCCUGCCAACCACAAUUUUACUCUCUUGCCUAUGUAUUCAACUUUUUUAGAUUCUACACAUAAGAGAAAUCUCAAAGUCUUUUUUCAGUGCCUGGCUUAUUUCACUUAGUAUAAUGUCCUCUAGACUUACCCAUGUUGUCAUAAAUAAUAAGAUCUCUUUUUUACGGUUGAAUAAUAUUCCAUAAUGUAUAUAUGCAAUAUGAUUAAAAAUACAAUGAGGGCCAGGGAUUUAGCUCAGUGGUUCUGCCGCCUGCCUGGCAAGCACAAGGUCCUGAGUUUGGUCCCCAGUACAAAAAAAAAGCAAUGAAUGUUUACUUUUUUUGUGGUUUUUUUUUGUUUUGUUUUGGGGGGGAUUUUUCUGAUACCAGGGAUCGAACUUGGGUCCUUGCACUUGUGAGGCAGGCGGCAGAACCACUGAGCUAAAUCCCUGGCCCUGAAUGUUUACUUUUUUAAAAAAUGUAUUGCAAUAAAAAACACAUUGCUGCUAAUCCCCCUCAAAAUACUGCCUCUUGCUUCAAACACACCUCAUCGUUCUUGCCACUGUCUCAAGCAGUUCUAGAAGUCCUCUUUAAUAAGUGUCUUUAGUUGCACUGUGGUGGUUGCCUCAGUGUCUUGAACUGAUUCAAAAUGUUUACCUUUCAUGGUCAUUUUGUUUUUGGAAAAUAACAAGAAGUAGCACGAAGUCAGAUCCAGUGAAUAAGAAGAAUAAGGACAUGCUGCAUGUUUUUACAAGCCUGUCUUUCCAUUGGAUGGCACUUGACAGCAGCAUUCACCAUAUUUGUGAUAAAACAUACUCACAGAAGAGAACUUCCAGAACUGCUUCAGAAAGUAACAAGAAUGAUGAGAAUUGUAUUCAAAGCAAAGGAGAGUAUUUUGAGGGGGACUGAUGGCAAUGUGACUUUUACUAUAAUAAUUUUUUAUUUAUACACACACCAUAUAGUCUGAUCUUAUAUAUCACAAUUCCUUUAUCCACUCAUCCAUCCAUCAAUGGACACUUAGGUUUUUUCCAUGUCUUGGCUGCUGUGAAUGGUGCUUCAAGGAACAUGGGCAGGCAGAUGUCUCUAUGAGUCGCUGAUGUCACUUCUGCUGGAUGUGUACUUAGCAGUGAGAUUGAUGGGUCAUGUGACAGCCUCAUUUUUAGUGUUUUUGAGAACAUCAUACUGUUUUCCAUAAUGGUUGGACCAACUUACAUUCCUACCAACAGUGUACAGGGGUCCCUUUUCUCCACAUCCUCACCAUUACUGAUUAUCUCUCAUCUCUUUCAAUAAGAGACAUCCCAACAGAUGUGAGAUGUCAUCUCAUUGUGGUGCAUUUUCCUGAUAAUUAGUUUUGUUUUGGUUUUUGGAACUGGGGAUCGAACUCAGGACUUUGCACUUGCAAGGCAGGCACAGCGCCACUGAGCUAAAUCCCCACUCAAUAAUUAGUGAUAUUGAGUACCUUUUCAUAUACCUGUUGGCAGUUUUUAUAUCUUCUUUGGGGAAAUGUCUAUUCAGGUGCUUUGCCUGGAUUUAGUUGGAUUAUUUUUAUUUGAUUGGGUUUGUUGUGGUUUUUUGUUUUUGUUUUUGAGUGAUGUGAAUUCAUUAUAUAUUUUGGAUAGUAACCCUUUAUUAGACAUAUGAAGCACAAUAUUUUCCCCAAUUCUCAGGCUAUACUUUGGUUAUUUCGUCUGCUGUGCAGAUUUGGUUUGACAAAGUAACACUUGUUUAUUUUGCUUAUUAUUGCCACAUGCCUCUGAUUUUUCACUAUACCCAAGAAUUUUUAGUCAGAAAAGAUGGUUUUCCUUAGAUUUCUUCCCAUGAAGCUCUUCCCUUUAUUCUAUGUCACACUUACUAUAGUUGGCUUAAAAAAUACUUUCUAUGAUGAUAAAAGUAAAACAAAGUCUUUCUAAAGUCCCACCCAAAAAACAGUUAACCAACAAGGUGAUUUCUUCACUCUUCACCCAUGGUCCAUUGAGAUGAGGGAGACAGACAUGGAGAUAGAGAAGAAAGGGAAGAGUGACGCUUCAUGCUUGGUUCAGGAGGGGAGGAAGUCAAGGUGAGCAGGGGUAAACACUGCCUCAGUGUCACCGCACCCAGUUUCAUGGGACAGCAUUGUCAAACCAACCAUCUAGAAAGAAACAAAGAUUGGCCCACUUUGUCAUUAAAUGAAUGUCCAUUUUAAUAUUGUUUCUUCCUAAAGUAGAGCUUAGCUCUUUGACAUUUUGUGCAAUGGCUGACAUAAUAUGGCCCUCUGGUUGACAUAUAUGCUGAAUUGUGUCCCCCUGCAUCCAUACAUUCAAACCCUAGUACUUCAGAAUGCAACUGUACUUGGAGAUAGUGGGUAUACUUCCUUCUUUCUUUUUUCUUUUUCUUUCUUUCUUUCUUUCUUUCUUUCUUUCUUUCUUUCUUUCUUUCUUUCUUUUCUUCCAGUGCUGAGAGUAGAGUAGAACCUAGGGCAGUGGUGCUGAACCUUUUAGAGCUUUCAAUGAUACAAACAGCCCACUGCAGCACCCAUGCCAUUGGCUUGCUACCGCUGAACGAGGGCCUCACACAGGCUAGGUGAGCAUUCUACUGCUGAGACACCCUCUUAUCCCCAAGAUGGGGUUUUACAGAGAUGAUUAAGACCAGGUCUUCAGCAUGGACACUAAGCCGGUCUGACUGGUGUCCUUAUAAGAAGAGGAGAUUCAGGAUACAGGCUCACUCGGAGGGUCAACCACAUGAGCACACCAGAGGAAGAUGGUGUCUGUAAGCCAAGGAGAGGAGCCUCGGGAGGAACCCAUCCUCCUCCACUUUAAUCUCAAACUUCUUGCUUUCAGAAUUGUAAGAAAACUAAGUUUUUAUUGGUUAAUCCCCCAGUAUCUUGUACUUUGUAUGGUGGCCCUAGCAAAUGAGUAUAGGAGAUAUGUUAAAGAUCAACUUUGCCUCAGCUAGUCUUAAUAUAGACAGUAUCACCAAUGCUUACAUUUACAUGGAGGCAACACGAUCCAGUGGUCAUAUAUUCGCUCUGGUCUGGCCUUGGUUCAGUUCACCAGCUUCAUCACUUACUAACAGUGAGGCCUUGGACAAACAUUUAACUUCUGCCUCAGCUUACAGAUCUGAAAAAAUGGAUCAGUACUUAUCUCACAAAAUUGUUAUGAGGAUUAAAUGAAUUAGUGUCCUAAAGUACUUAAAAUAUUGCUUGACCCAAUGAUUGAUGUAUAAAUAUUUAAAAUGGUUACAAAGUAUAAUGGAAUUUAGUUUAUAAAAUCUUUAUAAAUUCUAAUGGGAGGGAGUUGAAGCCAGGGCCUUUUACAUUGAGCUAUGUGCCUACUCCUUUGGUUUUGUUUUCAAUGUUUUACUUUGCAUCAGGGUGUCGCUGAGUUACCCAGACUGCCCUUGAGCUUGUGAUCCUCCUGCCCUAGCUUUCCAAGUAGCUGGGAUUACAGGUGUGUCCCACCACACCUGACUUAACAUAGUUUAUUAAAUUCUAUGUAUAAUAAAUAAAUAAUUAAAUAAAAAUAAAAAAUAAAUUAUAUGUAUAAAGAAUUCUUGUCAUAUUUGAGGAAAUAUGUCAUAACAUUCAGAGUUUUAACCUGUGCUGCUAGGGGCUGGAGUGUUCAGUUUAGGUUUGUGAGAGAAGAAAUGACUGAAAUGCACCUUGACAGUGAAGAUGGUCACCAUGCUUGCAUCCUGACAGUAGUGAUUGGGAACCAUCUCUGGUGAGCAUUUUAACAUUCUUCUUUCUCUCUUUUCCUUCCUGACCAUGAGGUGAGUGAUUCUGCUCUGUCUUAUGUCCCCACCAUAAUACGCCAUCUCAGGCCCAAAGCCAUGGGGCCAACUGAUCAUGGACCGAAGCCUACAAACCUGUGAGCCAAGAUAACCCUUUUUCUCUUUAUAAGCUGAUUAUCUCAGGUGUUUGUUACAGAAAAGGAAAGCUGACUAACACACUGUCUUCCAACCCCCACCAACAUCAGUUGCCCCAAGAGUGUCUAGAACGGGUGCUGAAAAUGUUCACAGGUGCUGUUUGCAUGACUUGCCACAGAGCUGGGGUAAACACUGCUUGAUUUUUACAGGUAAAACUUUAACACAGAUAAACUCACUCAUUGCAGUGGACCACAUGAUUGUUCUGUGUGUGAUGACUAAUAUAAACAAAGUCGGGCUAAUAUAAACAAAGUGUGGGCAUCCCAGGGUCCAGAAACCAGCGUGUAGAUCUUUCUGGAAGGCCAGCCCAGCUGUGAUCUGCUCAGGGACCAUGAACACCGGAGUAAACUAGAUGAGUAGUGACCAGAAGAACCACAUGGCUGAAUGGGAAGGUGUUUGGUGACUGAGGAAUGACAACUCAUUGACUUUUAAUACUCUACUCAGUUUCUGUCAGGAAAUCCUAAAGGUCUAUCAACUCUCAAGAUAAUCAUUUGGCCAACAGAUUCUUAUACAGAAAUGUUCAGUCUUGAAAAAUGAGUCUUAUAAGCCAGUUGGGAAAAGAGGAAAGUAUUAGCAGUAGGGAGAGAGCACCUGAGGUAGACUUCAGAGGCUGUUAUUCCUCUGGGAUCAGACAUUGCCUUUCAGACACUGGGAACAUUUUUAUGAGUGUAAAAAUUACUGAAGGAGACUUGAAAUAUUUUCAUUCAUGUCAGUUCAAUCCACAGAGCUAUUAAAAUUUUCAAAGCUUUAAGGUACUAAAAUGUAUAUAUCAUCUGAAUGUAAGUAUUGGAGUAACUGAUAACCUGCCUCUGCCAACAAUGGGUGGGGAGGUCGACAGUACUUUAUAUAGCUUUUAUUUAUCUAGAACUAAACCACUGCAUAACCUCAAAUGUCCCCAAAAUAGCUUGGAGACAUGAAAUUUUUUUUUUUAAAAGAGUGAACCUUGGGAAAUACUUUCCUGAAACACUUUUCUCGUAGAACUAGCCCUCAUACCCUGACUCAGAAUACAUUGUACACAUAUCCUUAACCAGUGAGCAUCCCACUUUCAUGCCAUGGCAGUUCAGAAAUAGAAAAUCAGCAGUCGGGAGAGGAUUUCUUACAGCCAUACUCACUAACGAGGAACAGCUGCCGUCAGCCCAGGGCCAGGGCAGAGAAGCAGGAGGGAAGCAGACAAACACAAGAAUCCCAGAGGCACAGUAACUUGGGGCCCCUUAGCAUACAGGCAGAUGUCCUGUCCCUGUCCAUCUGAAUUGCCUACGCCUAUGAUUUUUAUCACAUAUAGCCCUAGAUACGAUGAUUUCUCACUGUGAUGACUUCAAGACCAAAGACAAUAAAUUAAAUUAAGUUCCCCUUACUCUCAGAAAGCAGAAGGGGUAAACUGCAUUUUAGAACAUUUUCUGCCCCAAAUGAUUUUUUCCUUUUUUCUUUCCCUCUUUUCUUUCCCCUCUCCAUACUUACCCUCCUCUUUUCUCUCUUCUGUCUUUGCUUCCUUUUUCCUUCUUUUGGUGCUUUGAAGCACCUGCUUCAAUGUGUCUAGAACUCAGCCCUCCAGAAUGGCCAUCAAGAGAGCUGCAAUUUGCUGUUUUCAGCUCACUGUGUGACUGUAAGGCUUAUUGCACAACUGUGUGAUCAAUAUUUAUUCAUACUCUUUAAGAAUCAUCUCACGGUUUUUAAAUUUCUGAACAGGUGAACUUCUGUUAAAGAUACAGCCUACUGGAAAGGAGGAAAAACAGGGGGAAAACACAACUAACAGAAAUUUUUAGAAGAGGUUGUCAGAAUAAACAUUACAUCAUCAGUGUGGUGGGAGGGAAAAGAGGGUUCCCUUGAGGCAUAAACAAAAUUUCACAGUAUCAUUUAUUUUUACUUUUAGCCUAGCUCACAGACAGAUCUCUAAAACUGCUCAUUAUCACCAAAUGCCCUUUCAAAUGCUGAAGAACUGAAAGAAAGAGCUAAGUUACCUCUCUAUAUGACAUAUAAGAAAUGUCAGCACAUGCAGAUCUUCCCAAGGAAAGAAAAUUUAACUGUAGCAGCUCUGCAGUAAGUUUUAUCAGUUGCUUCCUUCCCUUUUCCCACUCACAGUGCACGUGCACACGUGCAUGCGCGCGCGCACACACACACACACACACACACACACACACAUGCAAACAUACCCCUUUUAGAUUGGGACCUUUGUCCUGCAGGGAAUGUAUAACUUCAAUAGCUGCUCUUCUCUGAAGGCUUCCUGUCAUCCGAACCCUGGAAAACCCUAUGCUUAAUUGUUUCUUGGAUCAUUGCAGAAAUUGAGGAUGGAGACAGAGCCGCCUUUUGUUACCUGUUGUGACUAGCAGUGGUCCAGUGGUCAUAGGCACACUGCCUAUGAGGAAACUGAGGCUCAAGAAAUUUGAGUCAAGUUCCCAAGAGAAACAUCUUACAAGCAGAGAUGGGAUUUAAAGAGAGGUUGCUUCUAACUACUGGGCUCUACUACCAGCCAAUGAGACUUGAACAGUUAUCACUGAAACUGACCCUCAUUUUCUAAGGGUCAGGGAUGGACUGAGAAAAAUGGUACUUGGAAUGUAGACACCAGGAUGCACUGAGGCCCCUACCUUGCACAAGAGAAUUGUGGGCACUCUCGUGUCCCUCAGUAAUGGGCACUUGACUUGUCUGAAUGGCUUACAUGCAGCCCAAAUGGCAGGCGCUGGGACUGCCGGCACAACUGCUGUCGGGAGAAGGUCUGUCCCUGUGCCACCCUGGCAACAAUGGACCAGCCUAUCUAGAAUCUUCUCUGCUGGCCAAGGCACUCUGCAACAGUAAGUAAAAUAUUCACAAUCAGAUCUGAACUUUUCCAGCAGGACAUUCCUUGUGACCAAAUCCUAUGUGACCUGGGCAGUGUGCUCUUUCAUGGGCUGCUUCCAGUCACACAAGUAACAAAAGGCAGCUCUGGCUCCAUCCUCAAUUUCUGCAAGGAUCCAAUUAUACAGAGAUUGGGCCAGGUGAUCCCUGAGCCUCUGCCUUCCAUUGCUCUGAGGCAUUUACAAAAUGCAGUGAAGGCAACUGAAAAAUAGACAUGUGGUGAGAAGGAGAAGGAGAGGAAGAAAGAGACAGAGAGAGAAAGACAGAGACAGAGACUGACUUUGGAAAUUAUCAGCCUGUCAACUUACCAUAUGGAGAAAUACUGCUGCCAUUGAUCAAAAUAUCAAGUUGUCAGCACUGAAACAGAAUGCUAAGGAAGUACUAAGUUGUAUGUACAUACAGUUGUAUGACAAACUGAGCCUCGUGGACUAACAGAACUUCCUUCUGAGGCAGUGGCAAUUAACAGUGGUAACCAUAAGGUCAAGACAGGACCCUUCAAAGACUUUAGGAAGACCUGGUUGAGCAUCUGGUCCUAGGUCUUGGACACUUGGGCAAAGGUUAGACUCCUUGGAAGAGAGCUUGGGAAAGUUGCCCAGCCUCUCAGGAUAUCCCAGAGUUAAGGACAUCACAAUCAUCCAGAACAGGGCUUCUUGCUUAUCAUUGUUGACUGUGGUCCCGACUCUAGGCACAAAUUCAUUGGCAGCACACAGUGAGUAGUUGAUUGAAUAAUAAGUUCUCUGUAAACAACGCUUUGUUGAUUGAGUCAUUAAUACUUGAAAAUAGUGUUUAAUUAUAUUUCACCUUACUAUACUAAAGCUAAAAUACCAUCUGCACAUUUCUGAUUUAUGGGGAAAUAGCUAUUAUUCUAAAGGAAUGUAUAUGAUACUAUAACCUUCAAAACCAUUGAUAUUUUAAUAUUAAAAGCAAUGUGGGGGAUGGGGAUUUAGCACAGUAGUGCCAUGCCUGCCUUGCAAGAGCAAGAUCCUGAGUUCGAUCCCUGGUACCCCCCCAAAAAAGCAAUGUAGGUUCAUUGCUUAAACUACAGAAUAUAAAUUAGAAAGAAUUGCCUCUAAUCUCAUAAUUCCUCUACUUAGGUACAAUGAGUUAACAUUUUAGUGUAGUUUCUUCCAAUUUUUUCAUAGAUAUAUACAUAUAUAUGCACAGAUUCAUAUAUAUUUAAAAUUAAAAUUACAUGGAAUAUAUGGCUGUCUUCCUUUUUCACAGAAUGUUACAGAUGGAACAUUUUCAUUGAUCAACAACUAACUCUGAAAAUAUGAUUUUUACAUAUCUACAUAGCGUUCUAUCAUAUGGAUGGACUAUGAUUUACUUAGCUGUUUCCUUAUGUUUGUAUAUUGGGUUUAUUUCCAACUUUUCCUGUAUUAUAAAGAAUGCUUCAUAGAAUAUGCUCAUUCAUAAAUCAUUCUGAACACUUUCGAUCAUUUUUCUUAGGACAUAUCUAGAAGCAGAUUACUAGACAAGGAAAUAUAAACAUUGUUAUGGUUCUUGUUACAUACUUCUUAAGAUGUUUAUAAAACAUUUAAGGAUUAAAGUCUAAAAGAAGUUACAGAAAUAACAGGUUUGGUUUGGUUUUAGCACUGUUGCCUCCUGUCAUUCAGGCAAGACUGGUCAACAUGUUGGCUACCUUCAGGGUUAUAAUCUUGCUCAUGUUUGUUACCUGCAUUUCAGGAGCCCUCACCCAGAGAAGGCUCUGUCAUGGACAGCCUCCAGUGCUUCGCCUACCCCUAAGGCCUAAGGUCCAUGUUUCUAGGAUGCCAUGACUGCACUUUGCAAAACCAGGACUUGCUCUGGGGGAUUUGUUUCGAGGCUGGAAUACACACUACAAUCAAAGGCCUAGUGUGUAAGACCAGCAAGGAAAAAUAGACAAGAAAGAUUGAGGCCACUGAAUUAAAAAUCCUAAAUUGUUUCCUGCCCUUUGUCUUUUUAUAUAGCUCUUUCUAGCAUCCUAGUAGAUUUCAGAAGUAUCAAGAGUCAUGCUAGCCCCAGAAAAGGCUGUUGAUUAAAAAAUAUAUAAUGAUCAUUUUGAAUAUGGUGUUCAAUUAUAUGCAAUGAUGACUUUACAUUAGGCUUACUUCAACUGUUUCUUUUAUGAAGUAAAAAGCUAAGCUUGUUGUUUAUCUUUAAAAAGUAGCUGUAAUUCUUAACUGUAUCACAGCAGUUUUUGCCUCUUUUCUUCUGAAAACUUACUUUGCAAUGAGCACAGAAUAUAUUCAUAUUAAUCAUAAAUAUCCCCCUCCCCUCCUUUCCAGGUAAAUAGAAUUUUAAUUAUUAGGGUAGAUAGAUUAUCUUAAGUACUUCUCAUUAUACUUUUUUAUGUCCUAUUUCCCUAACUUGCUUUACUGUUUUCUUUGUAUUUUAUAUUAUGCCAAAUAUAUUCUGAAAAAUUUAUGCAAAAUAAUUACCAGUAGAGACACCAAAUAUAUUCCCAUGUUUCAAGAACUUCGAUAUAAACAAGUCUCUGCUGACAGAAUCAUAGGGUCAGAGAAAAGAAAAAAAUGGAUUUAGCUGGCUGGGACCUUGGGAUAGAAAACCCAAUUCCUUUGUUUUGAACAAAAAAAAAAAAAAAAAAAGACAGCAGCUCAAAGACGUGAAAUGGCUUUUUGGAGUCUUGUUUUUGUUAUUGAUCCAAGAAUACAGAAUAGAAAAAAUAAUAGACAUAACAUCUUAAUUCUUUACAGCCCUUUACAGUUUAUGAAACACUUUCAUGUCCCGUGUUAAAAGGUACUGCAAUUCUGAGCUUCAGCAAACAAAACUCUCACGUGCUCUCUCCAUGAGACCCACGUGGCUGAUUUCACAUUUGUUGCCAAUGGAGUCUCCAAAGACAUUUAAGGGGAACUCUCAUAGGAAACAAAAGGCUACCACAUCAUGUGGGUCAGUUCAAAAUGGAGAGUAACAUAUCUUGCCCUAAAAGUAGGAAACUAGAGCUACGUCUAACUAGUAUCAGAGGGAUUUUUUUCUGAUUUUUAAACAACUUGUCACUGGUCACAUCUGCUACUUGGGGCUCCAAGGAUCAAAUUAAAUCUCAAAGAAACUCAAGGCUGUGUCUUUCAAUGUCCCCGUGUGGAUUUCUCCACUGAAAAGCACUGGAGUAGGUGUCUUUGCCAGCUGUGUCUUCAUGGAAGAUGACGGCAAAUGCCUGUGUGACAUCAUACAAUAAACUACAAUACUCAUCUGAAAGCUUUCACAGUCAUUCAUUCAGAUUUCCCAAAUUUACAGAGCACAGAGGAGGGAGGCAGAGGAAAACAAGGUGUGGCCACUGUCUCCAACUCAGUGGGCAGGUGCUCAUCCCAGCCACAUCUGUGGGAGUGUCCUGAAUCCUUGGAGAGCUGGCCUUUUUUUUUUUUUUUCUGGCACCAGGAAUUGAACUCAGGGCCUCAUGCUUGCCUGGCAGGCACUGUGCUGCUGAGCUACAUCCUCAGCCCUAACUUCUAUAGAUGAUGUCAGUCUGUUAUGACUGUUGGGGUCGGCUCUUUUGUGACCUCCUCCUCUGGGUACUGGGUUAUAGAGUCAUGCAUUUACUCCUCAGUAGGGUGUAUUUGUUUCCUGUGCUUGCCACAACAAAUUACCACAAACUGGGUGGUUUUAAAGCAACAGAAAUUUCUUCUCAGUUCUUGAGGCCAGAAGUCUGAACAAGGCAUUAGCAAGGCUGUAUUUAUUCCGAAGGCCCCGGGGGGAAAAUCCAACCUUCACCUUUCUUUUCACUCCUACUGUUGCUGGCCAUCCCUGACAGUUUUGGGCUUGUAGAUGCAUCCCUCCAAUCCAUCUCCAUUGUCACAUGGUGCCCUCCUUGUGUCUCUCUCUCUCAAGGAUACCAGCCCCAUUGAUUGGGCCCACCCUAGCUCAGUGCUGUCUCAUCUUUGCUUGAUUACAUCUAUAAGACCCUAUUUCCAAAUAAAGUCACAUUUGCAGCUACCAUGGGUGAGAUCUUACACUGACCUUUAUGGGCGGCACAGAGAUUUGAUCCAUCCAGGGCCCUUUCUCAGGACAGACAACAAAGUCUCCCUUGGAGUGGCAGGCUUCAGACCCACAUGGCUGUGUUCGAGGGGAAAGUGGAAAGAGCAAGCCACAGAGGGUUAAAAUAAUGUGGCAUGAGUUUCCAGGUGUAAGAAGACAGAAGAGCCUAAAGUGGACCUUCAAGGAAGUGACAUUUCCUGUGUCCCUCUCUUUCAUCUUUAUGUGUCUAUCUUUCAUGCUAAUGUCUCUCUCUCCUUGUUCCAGUGAAGCGGCAAAGAGAGUAAAAGUGCUGAGCUUCUGCCAUAAAUCCAGUGCUGCACAGCGCCCCAUCCAUUUGGACCACUCACUGUCCAUCCUCUGUGGCAGCGGUCAUAGCCACUGUGCUGAUAGACUCUGUUUGCUACUCUUGAUUGAGUCUGAGUGACCUCCUGAUAAAGCUUUCCUUUAGGCCGCAAAGUGCGCAUCUCCUUUCCAUUUCAAUCAUCUGCAUCAUAAGUGUUUUCCACUUAAUGAGCACACACAGCCAUGAACAAUCCAGUGUGACUUGUAGCACUGUUAUCACGAGCAUCAGUUGGAAGGAUGGCCAAAAAAUCUCACCUGGAAAAGCACAGGACAGUGAGCAUCUGUGCUCCAUGCACCCAACUGCACCGAGACCCUUCUGCACUAAUGAGCAGGGCAGGCAGCUUGCUCCAGCACAGCUCAGUCACCCUGCAUUCCCCAGGCAAGGUGCUGCUCCCAUCAGGAGCUAAAGUCUUCCUGGAAAAGGAGAGCUGCUUUUCUCUCCCUGUUGGCCACCGCCCACUGGAGAGGUAGAAAUUGUUAAAGAUAUGUUUAUCAUAGUCCCUGCCCCAGUAACAAAUCACCUAAUGUGAAAUGCAGGGACAAAACAAGUAUGUAAAGAACUUUCAGGAAACUAAACAAGUAUGAUAAAAAUCUUUGGAUUAUAUACAGGCAAAAGGAAACUGCAUUUUCUGACAAAUGAAUACAAGUUGUAAGUGAGCCUUUGGGGGAGGAAUAACCAUCUUUCCUCCAAAUUUCCAGAAACUUGGUGAAGAAAUUUUUUUAAUCCUUACACCCUAAUUAGUUUAGUAACAAAUGAUGAGCAUAGUCAAGACUGUUGAAAGUAAGAGAAACAGAACUCAAAUAAAGGGCAAUAUAUUUAUUCAUUAUCUAAAAAUAUUCAGAACAGUUCCAGAUAUUCAAACAAUGUCUUCAGACUUAUUCUACAGGCUUCUGUUUUGCCUUCCUCUCCCAAUUUCAUUCUCAAGAAGGUAAUCCUUUUUUUAUUUUUUUUAUUUUUUUUGACAAGAUGUCCAACAGAAGUUCUGGGCUAAUUUUCUGGAGCCAAGAAGAGAAUUUCUCUUUUCCAGUACAUAUAGCCUAGUAGACGCCAACCGUAGGCUCACAGCCUCGCCUCUGACAGUCUCCUCAGUAACAUCUGCUCACUCCUGAAGCAUCAGCCUACUGAACCCUCUUGUUGGCCACUUAUGAACCUUGUGAUCUGUCCUGGGCUGCUGUAAGAGUCAACUCCACCAGAACCCAGGGACUGCGGGGCAGGGGGGGGGGGCCUCCCUAAAGAGAACUAGGGUCCUGCUCUCAUGGGAAGAAAUGAGUGUUGGGCAGACAAAAGCAACAAAUACCAUGACAUGGAACAAAAAUAAAUGUACAUUGCUACAGGAUUCUCAUUAAGAACUUUAAAAUCAUUCCCAGCUUUAUAAAGUAAUUUUUAAAAGGUCAACUACCUGGGUCUUUCAUAGAAUUUAUGAUUGCUUUGACCUAGUAUGCAGGUCAACAAAAAAUUCUUUGUACCUCUUACCAAUAAUGGUUGGCCAGGAACAUUUCCUGUUAAUUCCUACUUUAGAAUAUUGCAUAAGUCCUUAUUUCAGAAAUAAACAAAUAUAGAUUAAAAACAAACCAAAAAACUCAAAAAGUGUUCUGGUGAAAGUUUUCUAUAUUCACAUCACAUUUUUUUUAGCAAGAAAGACUAUCUGGCUAAAUAAUAAUUUAGAUUUUAAAAAAGAAAAAAUAGCAAUAGCUAUUUAUAAUAAAUACAAAGAGAUAAUAAGAAAAGAUAAAAUUUAAAAAAGUAGCCAUUCACUUGUUGCAAAUGCAAAGAAGACAUAUAAAAAGAAGUCUUUCAUGGGGUAGAUUUUGCCAUUUUCUAG
rnacentral:lncRNA from 1 species